rnacentral:rRNA from 1 species
AUUAAACGCUGGCGGCAUGCCUUACACAUGCAAGUCGAACGGCAGCACGGGGGCAACCCUGGUGGCGAGUGGCGGACGGGUGAGUAAUGCAUCGGAACGUGCCCUGAAGUGGGGGAUAACGCAGCGAAAGCUACGCUAAUACCGCAUAUUCUGUGAGCAGGAAAGCAGGGGAUCGCAAGACCUUGCGCUUUGGGAGCGGCCGAUGUCGGAUUAGCUAGUUGGUGGGGUAAAGGCCUACCAAGGCGACGAUCCGUAGCGGGUCUGAGAGGAUGAUCCGCCACACUGGGACUGAGACACGGCCCAGACUCCUACGGGAGGCAGCAGUGGGGAAUUUUGGACAAUGGGCGGAAGCCUGAUCCAGCCAUGCCGCGUGAGUGAAGAAGGCCUC